GCAGUAUCCCGGUUUGUCGCUGGUCCUUCGGGACAAGAGGAAAGUCCGGGCAGCACAGGACGCUCCACUCGCUAAUCUACGAGCUAUUGGUGACAGUAGGUGUCGAAAGAAGAAAACAACCGCCUCGGGAAGAGUAUGCCCCUCGGGGAUUGUACCAUUAGAGGUAAGGGUGAGAAGGUGAGGUAAGAGCUCACCAGCGGCAUGGUGACAUGUCGGCUGUUUCAUCUGGAGGCUGCAAGUUCGCGUAUACCGUUGACUGAGGGUAGUCCGCCCGAGUUUCCUUCGAGGAAUGCAAUGGAGGGUAGAACGCUAGAGAUAUGAGGCAACUCAUAUAGUAGAUAAAUGACAGACACUCUCCUUCGGGAGAGCACAGAACCCGGCUCAUAGGGGUACUGCUUUU
rnacentral:RNase_P_RNA from 1 species